ACAAGCGGUGGAUGAUGUGGAUUAAUUCGAUGCAACGCGAAAACCUUACCUACCCUUGACAUGCCAGGAACUUGCCAGAGAUGGCUUGGUGCCCGAAAGGGAGCCUGGACACAGGUGCUGCAUGACUGUCGUCAGCUCGUGUCGUGAGAUGUUGGGUUAAGUCCCGCAACGAGCGCAACCCUUGUCAUUAGUUGCCAUCAUUCAGUUGGGCACUCUAAUGAGACUGCCGGUGACAAACCGGAGGAAGGUGGGGAUGACGUCAAGUCCUCAUGGCCCUUAUGGGUAGGGCUUCACACGUCAUACAAUGGUCGGUACAGAGGGUUGCCAAGCCGCGAGGUGGAGCCAAUCCCAUAAAGCCAGUCGUAGUCCGGAUCGCAGUCUGCAACUCGACUGCGUGAAGUCGGAAUCGCUAGUAAUCGUGGAUCAGCAUGUCACGGUGAAUACGUUCCCGGGUCUU
rnacentral:rRNA from 1 species